GGGGGAGUAGCUCAGCUUGGUUAGAGCGCCGGCCUGUCACGCCGGAGGUCGCGAGUUCAAGUCUCGUCUCUCCCGCCA
rnacentral:tRNA from 1 species